AGCUGCCGGUAGUCCUCGCUGCUGAUGUUGUACUUGCCCUUGAUCCGGAUCUCCUCGGCUUUGAGUUUCUCCUCCUCGCGCAUCUCGUGGUCCGACUCGAGGGCGUCGAAGACGGCGGCGCCCACCAGCAGGUUCUUUACACGCGGUGGGCGUGUCCACAGCCACUGGGGCUAAGAAGCACUAUCCUCUCUUACCCAAGGAGGCCCACCGUUUAUUCUGGUCCUGCAAUGAGUCAGAGUGGACCCCGGUCCUAGCCCAGCGCUUCUUCCAUAUCAGCCCUCCGUGUCUGUGAAGGAUUCCGCGGGAGGUGAAAGGCAGGGGGUACAGUGCUCCAGGCCAGGCUCCCCAGGCCGAUGUUCUGGUGCCUCCAUAGGCCUCUCUGGUCCAAGGCCGGUUCUGUUUGCCAGCUGGGGGCCAGAAUUGUCUGCUGCUCCCAGAACAUCCCAACUCCUGGGCGCAUUGAAUGCUUUGCGAUAUGAAUGCCCGCAUCUUUGGAAAUAGGCAGAGGAUGCAGAAUCGUCAUCCUCACUUUACAGACGGAGAAAGUGAGGCACCAAGGCCAGUGGUUCAGAAUCACAGAGAGGAGUCGUGAUGAGUCGGCCCUUCCUCGGAGCUGCGGGGGAGCCCCACAGGCUCCUGCCUCCUGUCCCAGCUUUGCCAGGUCUCGCUGAGACCUCAUGGCCUGUGACUUUUCUAGCGGAUGGCAUGUCUCCAUUUUAGACUCCAGCGGUGGCAGGUUACAGAGGAAACACACUGUCACCAGGCAUCCAGCCCCAUCCAGAGUUUCCCGCACUCUUCUUUGGGCUGUGAAUAUGUGUGUCACCAGGGAAGGGGCAGUCUGUGGUUACACAGUUUGGGAAAACUGGAUUAAACAGGGGAGGACCUAGGGCUUCUCAGAGCCUUCAGUCUGCUAACAGGCUUCCUGUUCCCCAAAUUCAUGUGAUCGUGGACUCGGCCUUUGGGCAUGGAAUUGGCCUCAGCACUGGGUCCUGGGUCUGCUCUUUGGGAACCCCUAACCCAGCCCUGAGAGCUGGGCACAGGAGGCCUGGGUCCCCCCGUGGCCCCACACAGACAAGCCCUCUGCCAGUUCAGGCUGCGAUGGUCUCCAGCCCUUCACGGGUCCCCCUGCCUCCAGCGGAACACCCUUCUCCCCACCUGCAGCCGGAGACGCCUUCUGAAUUUGCUGACCCUGGCACUUCCACAAUGAAAGCCUCCAGGAGCUCCUGGGUCAAGUCGAGGCCCACCCUCUGGUUUUCCCGCCCUGAGAUCCCACCUCUGGUCCCCUACUCUCACCUCAGCUCCUGCCUCCCUCCUUCCUGCCUCCCGCUCAGCCAUCCAAUCCCGUCGUUUCCUCAGCAUAUCGACUGUGCCUUUGUUCACUCUGUUCCCUCUGCCUACCUACCUUUCCUGGUUCUCUUCAGGCCCUUGUCGCCUCAUCUUUCAAGAUUCAGCUCCAGCAGCAUCUCCUCCAGAAGCUUCUCCUGAACCCAGGCUGGACAAGGCUCCUGUGUCUCUGCACAUACGUCCAUCCUGUGGCCCCUUUGGUGCUGGUCACAUCUCCCCAGCCAGACCAUGAGCUCCUUGAGGGCAGUGGCCAUGCCCGCCUCAACUUGGUCAUGAAGGACCUGCCACAAAAUAGGUGCACAAUAAAUGCUUGCUGAGAACUAAAGAGAAGAGCUGGGUUCACGGGCCAGUGGGCCUGAGGUCAUCACCCCAAGUGAGAUCUCUCACAGGAAGGCAGGAAGAAGCGGAUGCUGAAGAGGGAAAGGA